rnacentral:rRNA from 1 species
GUCGAGGGGCAGCAUUCAGUUUGCUUGCAAACUGGAGAUGGCGACCGGCGCACGGGUGAGUAACACGUAUCCAACCUGCCGAUAACUCGGGGAUAGCCUUUCGAAAGAAAGAUUAAUACCCGAUAGUAUAAUUAGACCGCAUGGUCUUAUUAUUAAAGAAUUUCGGUUAUCGAUGGGGAUGCGUUCCAUUAGGCAGUUGGUGAGGUAACGGCUCACCAAACCUUCGAUGGAUAGGGGUUCUGAGAGGAAGGUCCCCCACAUUGGAACUGAGACACGGUCCAAACUCCUACGGGAGGCAGCAGUGAGGAAUAUUGGUCAAUGGGCGCAGGCCUGAACCAGCCAAGUAGCGUGAAGGAUGACUGCCCUAUGGGUUGUAAACUUCUUUUAUAUGGGAAUAAAGUUUUCCACGUGUGGAAUUUUGUAUGUACCAUAUGAAUAAGGAUCGGCUAACUCCGUGCCAGCAGCCGCGGUAAUACGGAGGAUCCGAGCGUUAUCCGGAUUUAUUGGGUUUAAAGGGAGCGUAGGUGGACAGUUAAGUCAGUUGUGAAAGUUUGCGGCUCAACCGUAAAAUUGCAGUUGAUACUGGCUGUCUUGAGUACAGUAGAGGUGGGCGGAAUUCGUGGUGUAG